GGAACAUAACCCCAAGCUCAUAGUUAAUGUAAGGAUCUUUCCACUGGGGUCUGGGGAGAAUAGGAGAAGAAGAGAAAGGAGAAUCACUGAGAAAGAAGAGCAAUUGAGUCAAUCAUUGACAAGAAUUAACAUGGACUUCUUGCAACAGGAGAGGGGAGAUCAGCCUCCGGCCUCUUCCACAGACAUUAUUUGAUAGAUCAGGAUGAAGCUCUGCCCAGGACAAAAUGACACUGAAGAUGCAAAGCUGAGUCAGAGUUGUCUGUUCAGUUCAACCAUUUUGUUCCAUAGGACAAAAGCUAUUCAUAGCUGCAUGACCAGCAAAUUCCUAUCGCUUUCAAAAUGCAGGAAAUUACAGGGGGAAAUAUGAGCUAGUUGAAAUUUAAGGGGUAGUGGUGAGAUCCUGCAAACAAUAAGUGGCACCAAGAGUUUAGAAUAGAGGCAGGAGCUCUAUUCUUUGGAAUUUUAGAAA